AAGGUAGCAUAAUCAUUAGUCUUUUAAUUUAGGACUGGAAUGAAUGGUUUAACUGGAUAAUCAUGUCUUAUUAUUAUACUUCAAAUUUUAUAUUUUAGUAAAAAAGCUAAAAUUAACAUUAAAGACAAGAAGACCCUAUCAAGCUUUAUAAUUAUAAUUUAACAUCAAUAUAAAUAAAAAAUUAUUUUACUGGGGCAGUAAAUAAAUAAAAUUUUAUUUUUAAAAUAUGAAUACAAUUCUUGAAACAUCAAAAAGUUUUUAAACAGAAAUAAGUUACUGUAGGGAUAACAGCAUAAUUUUUUUAAAGAGUCCUUAUCAUCAAAAAAGUUUGUGACCUCGAUGUUGGAUUAAGAUACCUUUUUUAUGCAAUAGUAAAAUUAGGAAGUCUGUUCGACUUUUAAAUUCUUCCAUGAUCUGAGUUC
rnacentral:rRNA from 1 species